CUGUUCACUCCCUCAUAAGCAUCUGGCAUUGGCAGCUGUCAGAGGACAGGAUACUGGGCUAGAGGGACCUUUGGUCCGACCCAGUAUAGCUGUUCUUAU